rnacentral:lncRNA from 1 species
CGCGCUUAUUCAAAAGCCGAAGCCGAAGCCGCAGACGAAGAAGACCGAAUCCGAAUGUCAGAGCCAAUCAUCCUCUCAGACGAAGAAGACCACCACAAUGCCUCAUUCCCCCAUUUCCCUCUAAGAAACGCCGAACCCAAUUCGACCCGAGUCCGAAUCCGAAUCCAAAUCCUACGGUUCUCAUCCUCGACGACGACCCGACCCCGCAGAAACCCGUCCCCAAAUCCACGGCCUACUUGGUCCCGGACACCCCGAAUUCCGAUAUCGCAAUCG